rnacentral:rRNA from 1 species
CAGCCGCCACGGGAAUACGUAGGGCGCAAGCGUUAUCCGGAAUUAUUGGGCGUAAAGAGCUCGUAGGCGGUUUGUCGCGUCUGCCGUGAAAGUCCGGGGCUCAACCCCGGAUCUGCGGUGGGUACGGGCAGACUAGAGUGAUGUAGGGGAGACUGGAAUUCCUGGUGUAGCGGUGAAAUGCGCAGAUAUCAGGAGGAACACCGAUGGCGAAGGCAGGUCUUUGGGCAUUAACUGACGCUGAGGAGCGAAAGCAUGGGGAGCGAACAGGAUUAGAUACCCCCGUAGUCCCUGUCUCUUAUAC